UACGUAGGGUGCAAGCGUUGUCCGGAAUUAUUGGGCGUAAAGAGCUCGUAGGCGGUUUGUCGCGUCUGCUGUGAAAACCCGAGGCUCAACCUCGGGCCUGCAGUGGGUACGGGCAGACUAGAGUGCGGUAGGGGAGAUUGGAAUUCCUGGUGUAGCGGUGGAAUGCGCAGAUAUCAGGAGGAACACCAAUGGCGAAGGCAGAUCUCUGGGCCGUAACUGACGCUGAGGAGCGAAAGCAUGGGGAGCGAUCCGG
rnacentral:rRNA from 1 species